rnacentral:rRNA from 1 species
GCCGCGGUAAUACGUAGGGUGCGAGCGUUAAUCGGAAUUACUGGGCGUAAAGCGUGCGCAGGCGGUUCGUUGUGUCUGAUGUGAAAGCCCCGGGCUCAACCUGGGAACGGCAUUGGAAACUGGCGGACUGGAGUGCGGCAGAGGGGGGUGGAAUUCCGCGUGUAGCAGUGAAAUGCGUAGAGAUGCGGAGGAACACCGGUGGCGAAGGCAGCCCCCUGGGCCGACACUGACGCUCAGGCACGAAAGCGUGGGGAGCAAACAGGAUUAGAUACCCUGGUAGUCCACGCCCUAAACGAUGUCGACUGGGUGUCGGGAGAGAGAUCUCUUGGUACCGUAGCUAACGCGUGAAGUCGACCGCCUGGGGAGUACGGCCGCAAGGUUAAAACUCAAAGGAAUUGACGGGGACCCGCACAAGCGGUGGAUGAUGUGGAUUAAUUCGAUGCAACGCGAACAACCUUACCUACCCUUGACAUGUCCGGAGGCCCGGUGAGAGCCGGGGGUGCCCGAAAG